GGGACAGAAAGUUUCCCUUUGUCUGCUGUUCUCUCUGGGCUGCAGGGAAACGGAGCAGCAAUGCUAUAAGCAGGAAUGCCGUGUAAGGUUUGAACCAGGGGACCCCGAGAAGGGACGAGACUCCAGAGGCCUCAGCCAGAGGAUGGAGCGCCAGCCCUCUACAACACCUGCUAGAGUGGGGGAUAAUUGGACUCAGAUGUGUGUACUCACCAUGUAACUCCUAGAGGGGGCACUCUAUCAUGGACAGCUUUUGCGACAAGAUUUCUGUCACUUCUCUACCAUGAUGGACCCUACAGAUGGGAGUACUGCACAUGAAGGGACUUCUGGAUUGGGAGUCGAAGUAUACCACCACCAGCCAGCUCCUCUGACACACGAGAGACAGGUGGGAAUUUUCAGUUCAAGGACAUUGGCCCCACCACUCUCUGAAACCUUUCUGGAAGGUACAGAAGCAGAGCCAGACCAUAACUAUGCCACAAAAAUACCUCUCAGGUAACUGCAGAGUUGCUAAAACAAUCCAACCAGUGUGCUGCAGCAGCCAGCUGUGGUAGGUACAGCAAGGAGAACGAACAAACAAACAACAUUCUUCGCACAAUUUGGCAACUGGAGUCAUUUCUCUUGGAGCCUAUAGAGCAUGAGAACUGUAAGGCAAAGCAGAAUGAUUGUGGCACCCCCAACAACUUAAGAAGAUGGAGAUCUUGUUAUUAAGAUACUAGACAAGGAGUCUUGGUUUAAUUCUUGGGUGUGCCCUAGACUUCCUGCGUAACCUUGGACACUUUGUUUCUCUCUGUCUCAGUUCCCCAGGAAUAUGGGGAGAACAACACUUUUCUCCCAACCUUUGUCCAUCUUGCCUAUUGAGUUUGUAAGCUCUUCAAGGCAAGGAUUGUCUCUCAUUAUGUGCAUGUACAAUACCUAGCAUGAUAAGGACCAAAUCUUGGAUGGGGCCUGUAGGUGCUACUGUAAGGUUAAUAAUAAUAAUAAUAAAUUGCCACUUUUGAACAGCCAUGAAAUUUCAAUGGGAGUUUUCCCUGAGUAAGAUCUGUUGCAAAUCAGCAGUAUUUGGCCCAUUUAAUUACUAUUAUUAAUCUGCUCUAUUUUUCAAAUAUAAACUAAGCCUCUUUUCAAA